CAUGCAAGUCGAACGAAGUAGCAAUACUUAGUGGCAGACGGGUGAGUAACAUGUAGGUAUCUACCCUUUGGCCUGGAAUAACACGAGGAAACUUGUGCUAAUACCGGAUAAGUCUUUACGGAGAAAGCUUUAUGCACCAUUGGAUGAGCCUGCAUUUGAUUAGUUUGUUGGUGGGGUAAUGGCCUACCAAGACUUUGAUCAAUAGCUGAUUUGAGAGGAUGAUCAGCCACAUUGGGACUGAGACACGGCCCAAACUCCUACGGGAGGCAGCAGUGGGGAAUCUUGCACAAUGGAGGAAACUCUGAUACAGCGAUGCCGCGUGAGUGAAGAAGGCCUUUGGGUUGUAAAGCUCUUUCGUCGGGGAAGAAAAUGACUGUACCCGAAUAAGAAGGUCCGGCUAACUUCGUGCCAGCAGCCGCGGUAAUACGAAGGGACCUAGCGUAGUUCGGAAUUACUGGGCUUAAAGAGUUCGUAGGUGGUUGAAAAAGUUGGUGGUGAAAUCCCAGAGCUUAACUCUGGAACUGCCAUCAAAACUUUUCAGCUAGAGUUUGAUAGAGGAAAGCAGAAUUUCUAGUGUAGAGGUGAAAUUCGUAGAUAUUAGAAAGAAUACCAAUUGCGAAGGCAGCUUUCUGGAUCAUUACUGACACUGAGGAACGAAAGCAUGGGUAGCGAAGAGGAUUAGAUACCCUCGUAGUCCAUGCCGUAAACGAUGUGUGUUAGACGUUGGAAAUUUAUUUUCAGUGUCGCAGCGAAAGCGAUAAACACACCGCCUGGGGGGUACGACCGCAAGGUUAAAACUCAAAUGAAUUGACGGGGACCCGCACAAGUAGUGGAGCAUGUGGUUUAAUUCGAAGAUACGCGCAGAACCUUACCAACACUUGACAUGUUCGUCGCGACUUUAAGAGAUUAA
rnacentral:rRNA from 1 species